AUACGGAGGGUGCGAGCGUUAAUCGGAAUUACUGGGCGUAAAGCGUACGUAGGCGGUUGGUUAAGUUGGAUGUGAAAGCCCCGGGCUUAACCUGGGAACUGCAUUUAAAACUGGCGAACUAGAGUUGAGUAGAGGGGAGUGGAAUUUCAGGUGUAGCGGUGAAAUGCGUAGAGAUCUGAAGGAACACCAGUGGCGAAGGCGACUCCCUGGACUCGAACUGACGCUGAGGUACGAAAGCGUGGGUAGCAAACGGGAUUAGAAACCCCGGUAGUCC
rnacentral:rRNA from 1 species